ensembl:lncRNA
AUUUUUUGUAUUAUUAUUAUUAUUAUUAUUAUUAUUAUUAUAAGUAUAUUUUUUAGGUUUAUGUUUAAAACAAUAAAAAAUGGCCAGUGGCAUUAAGUUUAUUUAAAAAAAUCAAUGUUAUUCAAGUAUAUUAUGCAAUUUUUCCUUCACAGCUAAAUUUUAUUCGUUUUAAAUGUGUAAAUGUUUGAAAAAAAGGACAAAAAUACUGAUAAGCAAACUUUUUAUGUAGAAAUACAGCUCGCUUCUCUCAGCUCAACACAUGGUCGACUUUAACCCAGCUGGUCUAUAUUUUGAUGUAUUUCAUCACACACCUCUUCUACAGCAGUGUCUUUUUCAUUAAUGGAUAAGUUAGAGAGCAAUGGAAGAACAGUUUUCUGUGGUUGUGCUGAGGACCUGUCAUAGGCUGAUGGGGGGUUGACGUCCGCCACGACAGAUCAAAAGGACCACGCUUGGCCCCUGUGGUUUUACCGAAGCCAUAUGGUCUUUGCCAAUUCAGUUCACUCCUUUUAAUUUUAUUCUGAUUUCUUUUUUUCUCUCCAUCUCUCCACCCUUGCUACUCACACACUCCCAUCCCUGUGUCGAAAGCUUCGGAUUUCCCAGAAUAAGCUGUCUGGUGAACAGCAGACAUGUGCUGAAUGGGCUUCCUCUAGCAUGCUUCACCUUAAAGAUCGAACUUUGUAAUUAAUAUUUUCUGCCCUCUUGCAAACAGACCUCGUUCCAUUCAGUCUCCGAAUUGUGCCGAGCAUCUGUUCACAAACACGCGAGGUUGUUUUUCUACAUAGUUCUCGAUGAUCACAGGUUACAUGCCUAUUGAAAAAGAUACGGUAGUUGCUAAUGCUUAGAUUCAUUGUUCAUAAAUCAGCUGCAAUGUUGCUACAGCUGCGGUAGUCUGUUUUGAGUUUUCAAGACAAAAAUCUUUUUUUGUUCAAUGGAUUGAGCUGCUUCUCAUCUAGAUCUUAACAGUGCAGUUAUUUGUAUCACAAAUUAUUGUAAAGAAAGUCUUUGAAUCAUGUUAAAAAAGAGUUUACCUCACUGUAAAAGAAUUUGGAGGACAAAACUCAACAUUUUAUGUUCAUUGUUGCAAUUAAAACUCAACUAAAGUUCCAACUGAACUUUACAGUGCAUUUUAACCCCAGUAUUUUUAUUUUAAAUGCCUUAUUUUUCCUAAUUUCACCCAGAAAGUUUCAACACACACAAAAAAAUAUUUUUUAUUUAUUAUUAUUAGUUUUAUUUUUAAGUUCUGACUUGGUUAAAACGUUAAAUACUACAUUUCUUCCUUUUUGAAUACAUUUACAAGCAUAGUGCCUUUGGCCGUACAUAAAAGCAUCAGAUAUUUAUUCUUUCACCAUUUAAUGACAUGCUUUUCUGUUCUGUAUUCCCAAAGUGUUAUUUGUGUUCCUGUUAUUACUGUAUUUUUUGGAUUUCUGGAUCUUUAACAAGAUGACGCUUGUUGCAAGUUCAAAAUCACAGGCAAUGGUGCAAACUCACUGGAAACUUACAGCAGUAGCACUUGCAAGUGUUAUGGUGGACAGUUGCAGUAUAUAUUAUUAUUAUUUUUUGUACAUAUUCUGGCAGGAGAUAUUUGUCUAUGGAAUAAACAUAUUUUUAUAUGAGGCCAGAACAUUAAGCAGAGAAUGUGCUUAGUUAACGUGCUUUUUAUCUUCUCAUGUUCAUUUUUUUAUAUUUAGUUCUCAGGAGUUUAUUUUGUACAUAUUAGAGUUAUACGAAUGAUUGAUGACUUGUAAAUCAUUUUGGAAAUGAGGGACAG